rnacentral:tRNA from 1 species
GGUAGAGUGGCUGAAUGUUAAGCGGCGGAUUGUAGUCCCGAUGAAGAAGGUUCAAAUCCUUUUUUUACC